rnacentral:rRNA from 1 species
AGCGAACGCUGGCGGCAGGCCUAACACAUGCAAGUCGAACGAACCCUUCGGGGUUAGUGGCGGACGGGUGAGUAACACGUGGGAACGUGCCUUUAGGUUCGGAAUAACUCAGGGAAACUUGUGCUAAUACCGAAUGUGCCUUUCGGGGGAAAGAUUUAUCGCCUUUAGAGCGGCCCGCGUCUGAUUAGCUAGUUGGUGAGGUAAUGGCUCACCAAGGCUACGAUCAGUAGCUGGUCUGAGAGGAUGACCAGCCACGUUGGGACUGAGACACGGCCCAAACUCCUACGGGAGGCAGCAGUGGGGAAUCUUGCGCAAUGGGCGAAAGCCUGACGCAGCCAUGCCGCGUGGAUGAUGAAGGUCUUAGGAUUGUAAAAUCCUUUCACCGGUGAAGAUAAUGACUGUAGCCGGAGAAGAAGCCCCGGCUAACUUCGUGCCAGCAGCCGCCGUAACAC